rnacentral:hammerhead_ribozyme from 1 species
AAGCGAAACCGGGGGCUUUACUCCGGUCGUCAUAGGGUUGCGCCUAUGGCCUGAUGAGCAGCUUAUU